GAUGGACGCUGGCGGCGUGCCUAAUACAUGCAAGUCGAGCGAACAGACGAGGAGCUUGCUCCUCUGACGUUAGCGGCGGACGGGUGAGUAACACGUGGAUAACCUACCUAUAAGACUGGGAUAACUUCGGGAAACCGGAGCUAAUACCGGAUAAUAUAUUGAACCGCAUGGUUCAAUAGUGAAAGACGGUUUUGCUGUCACUUAUAGAUGGAUCCGCGCCGCAUUAGCUAGUUGGCAAGGUAACGGCUUACCAAGGCAACGAUGCGUAGCCGACCUGAGAGGGUGAUCGGCCACACUGGAACUGAGACACGGUCCAGACUCCUACGGGAGGCAGCAGUAGGGAAUCUUCCGCAAUGGGCGAAAGCCUGACGGAGCAACGCCGCGUGAGUGAUGAAGGUCUUCGGAUCGUAAAACUCUGUUAUUAGGGAAGAACAAAUGUGUAAGUAACUAUGCACGUCUUGACGGUACCUAAUCAGAAAGCCACGGCUAACUACGUG
rnacentral:rRNA from 1 species